GAUGAAGAACGCAGUGAAAUGCGAUACGUAAUGUGAAUUGCAGAAUUCAGUGAAUCAUCGAAUCUUUGAACGCAUAUUGCGCUCUUUGGUAUUCCGAAGAGCAUGCUUGUUUGAGUAUCAGUAAACACCUCAAAGCUUUUGGAUUUUUUAAUCGAAAAGCUUUGGACUUGAGCAAUCCCAACACCAAUCUUUUUGAGAUCGGUGGCGGGUUGCUUGAAAUGCAGGUGCAGCUGGACAUUCUCCUGAGCUAAAAGCAUAUUCAUUUAGUCCCGUCAAACGGAUUAUUACUUUUGCUGCAGCUAACAUAAAGGGAGUUUGACCGUAUUGGCUGACUGAUGCAGGAUUUCACAAGGGUCGGCAACGAUCCUUGUUAAACUCGAUCUCAAAUCAAGUAAGACUACCCGCUGAACUUAAGCAUAUCAAUAAGCGGAGGA
rnacentral:misc_RNA from 1 species